CACGUAGGGGGCAAGCGUUGUCCGGAUUUAUUGGGCGUAAAGAGCUCGUAGGCGGCUUAGUAAGUCGGGUGUGAAACCUCCAGGCUCAACCUGGAGACGCCACCUCAUACUGCCGUGGCUAGAGUCCGGUAGGGGAGCAUGGAAUUCCUGGUGUAGCGGUGAAAUGCGCAGAUAUCAGGAGGAACACCAGUGGCGAAGGCGGGUUGCUGGGCCGACACUGACGCUGAGGCGCGAAAGCCAGGGGAGCGAACGGG
rnacentral:rRNA from 1 species